GACGAACGCUGGCGGCGUGCUUAACACAUGCAAGUCGAGCGGAAAGGCCCUUCGGGGUACUCGAGCGGCGAACGGGUGAGUAACACGUGAGUAACCUGCCCCAGACUUUGGGAUAACCCUCGGAAACGGGGGCUAAUACCGGAUACGACACAGCUUCGCAUGGGGUCUGUGUGGAAAGUUUUUCGGUUUGGGAUGGGCUCGCGGCCUAUCAGCUUGUUGGUGGGGUGAUGGCCUACCAAGGCGACGACGGGUAGCCGGCCUGGGAGGGCGACCGGCCACACUGGGACUGAGGCACGGCCCAGACUCCUACGGGAGGCAGCAGUGGGGAAUAUUGCACAAUGGGCGGAAGCCUGAUGCAGCGACGCCGCGUGAGGGAUGACGGCCUUCGGGUUGUAAACCUCUUUCAGCAGGGACGAAGCGUAAGUGACGGUACCUUCAGAAGAAGCGCCGGCCAACUACGUG
rnacentral:rRNA from 1 species